ensembl:lncRNA
CAGAGUCAGGACAGGCAGAGUGGUCAGGCAGGUGGGCUCAGAGUCAGGACAGGCAGAGUGGUCAGGCAGGCGGGCUCAGAGUCAGCACAGGCAGAGUGGUCAGGCAGGUGGGCUCAGAGUCAGGACAGGCAGAGUGGUCAGGCAGGUGGGCUCAGAGUCAGGACAGGCAGAGUGGUCAGGCAGGCGGGCUCAGAGUCAGGACAGGCAGAGUGGUCAGGCAGGCGAGCUCAGAGUCAGGGCAGGCAGAGUGGUCAGGCAGGCGGGCUCAGAGUCAGGACAGGCAGAGUUGUCAGGCAGGCGGGCUCAGAGUCAGGACAGGCAGAGUGGUCAGGCAGGCGGGCUCAGAGUCAGGACAGGCAGAGUGGUCAGGCAGGUGGGCUCAGAGUCAGGACAGGCAGAGUGGUCAGGCAGGUGGGCCCAG